AAAUGUAAUCUCGUCUCUAACUUCGAAGAUUCAUGCAAGCAUCUUUCUCCUCACAGGCAGUAUGGAAAAGCAGGGUCAGACUUAAGCUCAUGCCACACGUUUUUCAUUCAGCACACUGUAAAGAGGAAUACUUGGGCCGGGCAUGGUGACGCAUGCCUGUAAUCCGAGCACUUUGGCAGGCCGAAGCGGGCGGAUCAGAGGUCAGGAGAUGGAGACCAUCCUGGCUAACAUGGUGAAACCCCGUCGCUACUAAAAAUACAAAAAAUUAGCUGGGCGUGGUGGUGGGCGCCUCAAAAUAUGAGGAUCUUUUAGAAAGUAAAGGCCAAGUUAAAAAAAAUUAGCUGCUAUUUUAAGUAAUAAGUAUUUAAGCUAAUUCACUACCAUCGAAAUGUGAUAUAGGCCCCAGAACAUGCAGGAACCAACCAUAUCAGACCACAAGCCUGAAUUAGUAUGACAGUAUUACUAAUGUAAAUGGCAAGGAAGAGAAAGGUUAAACAUACGAUGUUCAUCCUUCAGUCUUGGCUUAGAAGCCCCUUCUUUCUAGAAACGUACAGAGAUGCUCUUAUACAACCACUGGAGAGGGCCAAGAUGAAACUGGGCAGAAAGGAUCAAGUUCUUCCCAGAUGGAAGUCCUGCAGAUGUGAGGGCUUUUUCCAAAGUAUUUGAUUGAAAGUAGAAAAAACAGAGAGUGAAUUUUCUAAAAUAUAUCCACUGUAAAACUGUUCUUUAUGGAUCCCCCCUAAAGUGAAGAUCUAGAAUGAACACAGUUUUAAAGCAGUUUCCAAAAGACACGGUGAUUCUUCCCUUUCUUCAAUUAAUAUAA
rnacentral:lncRNA from 1 species